AAUGCUACAGUGCGGGAUAAUAACACGACAAGUGAUAGUUAAUUUUAUGAACGUGCGGAGAAUAAUUAAAAGAUUAAAAGACGAACGUGACAAACGGAAAGAGUGAAUGGCAUAAAUCAGAACAGAGAAGCAUAGGAGGUAUUUACUCCUAUGCAUUAACGUGCGUAGAGUCUUAAUUUUUCUUAAGUGCAAAACACACGCACGAGAGUAUAAUUAAAACGGUACUACUACUGGCAAAAAAUAAAAUAAAAUAAAACAGACCUUUUUGAGAGCGAAAAACUAGUGCAAGUUUAAGGCUAAACAAUCGGCGUGUGGUUAAACAUUAAAAUUAUGUGAUGAGAUCAUGAGAGCAUACUUUGUGGAAAAGGGUAUUAGGAUGUCCAGAAUGUUGGAAUACAAUAUUGCGAACCACCUCCUACGCACCUCCAAAAUAAUGUCAUCCAUAUGACCGAUGAGAGCCAGACAUAUAUCAGACUACUUUUUGACUCGAAGAGCUACACAGAUUGGCUUUAAACGACAUUCACAGAAUCUUUAACCGCCUGUACUCGCGAAAUGCCGUUAUCGGAGUCCAAUGUGCAUCGAUAUUAGACAAGAGCUUCAACUGCUUUGUGCGACCCUGGUGUGCGUCUCCAAUAGGGGUGUGCGUCUUGAUGUUAUUCCACAAAUGGAGAGACCUACCGUUUUAAGCCGACUCUGAACGACAAAUGGUUUUUGUGAGGAGCAGAAAUACCCUCGGAGGUUUGCCAUUGCCUGCCUAUGAGCGACCGCUAUUAGAAUAAAGCUUUUUUGUUACUUUUAGUUCAUUUUCUUAUUUAUUUAUGAAAAAUAUGUAUAUGUGGCUUUUGUAAUAAUAUACUAAUAUAGUUUGAAUAACUAUAUAUUAAUUAGGAUAUUGAAAAAGAUAUAUUGUAUGAAUUUAUGUAAUUUAUGAGUUUAUGUAUAAGUAAGUAUGAAAAAUAUUUGUAUAAGCAAACUCCCCCACAUUUUACUUUAUAAAAAGCUUAACCGUAAAAAUAUAGAGUUCAAGUAAACCUAGA